rnacentral:rRNA from 1 species
CCUACGGGUGGCAGCAGUGAGGAAUAUUGGUCAAUGGGCGAGAGCCUGAACCAGCCAAGUCGCGUGAGGGAGUACUGCCCUAUGGGUUGUAAACCUCUUUUGUCGGGGAGCAAAAGCCGGACGUGGCCGGCUGUGAGAGUACCCGAAGAAAAAGCAUCGGCUAACUCCGUGCCAGCAGCCGCGGUAAUACGGAGGAUGCGAGCGGUAUCCGGAUUUAUUGGGUUUAAAGGGUGCGCAGGCGGAUGUUUAAGUCAGCGGUAAAAUCGUGGGGCUCAACCCCAUCCAGCCGUUGAAACUGGGGAUCUAGAGUGUGCGAGAGGUAUGCGGAAUGCGUGGUGUAGCGGUGAAAUGCAUAGAUAUCACGCAGAACCCCGAUUGCGAAGGCAGCAUACCGGUGCACAACUGACGCUCAGGCACGAAAGCGUGGGUAUCGAACAGGAUUAGAUACCCGUGUAGUC